GAUGAACGCUGGCGGCGUGCCUAAUACAUGCAAGUCGAGCGAACAGACGAGGAGCUUGCUCCCCUGACGUUAGCGGCGGACGGGUGAGUAACACGUGGAUAACCUACCUAUAAGACUGGGAUAACUUCGGGAAACCGGAGCUAAUACCGGAUAAUAUAUUGAACCGCAUGGUUCAAUAGUGAAAGACGGUUUUGCUGUCACUUAUAGAUGGAUCCGCGCCGCAUUAGCUAGUUGGUAAGGUAACGGCUUACCAAGGCAACGAUGCGUAGCCGACCUGAGAGGGUGAUCGGCCACCCUGGAACUGAGACACGGUCCAGACUCCUACGGGAGGCAGCAGUAGGGAAUCUUCCGCAAUGGGCGAAAGCCUGACGGAGCAACGCCGCGUGAGUGAUGAAGGUCUUCGGAUCGUAAAACUCUGUUAUUAGGGAAGAACAAAUGUGUAAGUAACUAUGCACGUCUUGACGGUACCUAAUCAGAAAGCCACGGCUAACUACGUG
rnacentral:rRNA from 1 species